CUAUCAGUUUGUAUAUGCCGCCCGAGCUUUAUGAGCAUGCUCCGCCUCUUCUUCUCCGUUUGUUGGUGAAUUUCUGCAGCAGAAACAUGUGCUGAGUCAUUUACAAAUGGAUCCG